rnacentral:misc_RNA from 1 species
GAUGAAGAACGUAGCGAAAUGCGAUAAGUAGUGUGAAUUGCAGAAUUCAGUGAAUCAUCGAAUCUUUGAACGCACAUUGCGCCCCUUGGUAUUCCAUGGGGCAUGCCUGUUCGAGCGUCAUUUGUACCUUCAAGCUCUGCUUGGUGUUGGGUGUUUGUCUCGCCUUGCGCGUAGACUCGCCUUAAAACAAUUGGCAGCCGGCGUAUUGAUUUCGGAGCGCAGUACAUCUCGCGCUUUGCACUCAUAACGACGACGUCCAAAAGUACUUUUUACACUCUUGACCUCGGAUCAGGUAGGGAUACCCGCUGAACUUAAGCAUAUCAUAAGCGGAGGA